GGCAGUUCUCUGGUGACGCACCCUAGAAUCGGGCUCCCUCCUCUCUGGUUCUGGGUGGGUCACCCAAGAACCGCA
rfam:Myotis lucifugus cont2.28991, whole genome shotgun sequence.